rnacentral:rRNA from 1 species
UACGGGGGGGGCAAGCGUUGUUCGGAAUUACUGGGCGUAAAGGGCUCGUAGGCGGCCAACUAAGUCAGACGUGAAAUCCCUCGGCUUAACCGGGGAACUGCGUCUGAUACUGGAUGGCUUGAGGUUGGGAGAGGGAUGCGGAAGUUCCAGGUGUAGCGGUGAAAUGCGUAGAUAUCUGGAGGAACACCGGUGGCGAAGGCGGCAUCCUGGACCAAUUCUGACGCUGAGGAGCGAAAGCCAGGGGAGCAAAGCGGG